rnacentral:miRNA from 1 species
AGGAUGACCAACUAUCCUGGUUUGCCUGGGACUGAGGGGGUUCCCAGGAUAUAGACUUCCAGUUUUAAAACCAGGACAGU